rnacentral:rRNA from 1 species
UCAGACGAUGCGUCAUGCAUAUCAAUAAGCGGAGGAAAAGAAACUAACAAGGAUUCCCCUAGUAACGGCGAGUGAAGCGGGAAGAGCUCGAAUUUGAAAUCUUAAAGGGUUUCCCUUUACGAAUUGUAGUUUAAAGAAGUGUUUUCUGUUGAGGUUUUGGUAAAAGUUCUUUGGAAUAGGACAUCAUAGAGGGUGAGAAUCCCGUAUUUGACCUUUACUUUCAACUUUGUGAUACACUUUCAAAGAGUCGGAUUGUUUGGGAAUGCAGUCCAAAAUGGGUGGUAAAUUUCAUCUAAAGCUAAAUAUUGGCGAGAGACCGAUAGCGAACAAGUACCGUGAGGGAAAGAUGAAAAGAACUUUGAAAAGAGAGUUAAACAGUACGUGAAAUUGUCAGAAGGGAAGCGUUUGACACCAGUGUUGUUUUUCUGAAAAUCAAUUAAAGAACUGUUUAUGCUAAGUUGUUUAGACUUUAUCAGCUAACUGUUUAGUUUUGAGCUUUUCUUUAAUGCACUUUUCAGUUAACAAGUCAACAUCAAUUUCUUUUGCUGUAAAAAAGCUUGAGGAAGGUGGCUUUAGAUUCGUCUUAAGUGUUUAUAGCCUCUUGCCUAUGCAGUCGGAGAGAUUGAGGUCUGCAGCGUAGAUCCUUCGGGGCUAAAUGCAUUUGUGCUAAGUUAUAGCAUUUUAUAGACAACUUGUUGACUAAGAUUUGUCUUGUAGCUUACUCGCUUAUGUUAUUUUACCUACGCUUAGGAUGUUGAGCGCAUGUCUCUCUCU